UGGCCUGACCUGUGCGUCCUUCAUGC
rnacentral:piRNA from 1 species